AUGGCUCCUGAAGACGCUGACAGGUAUGAAUGUUUAGUUGCUCAACGUGUUUUGAGUGUCCAAGUCACACAAGCUGAGCAAAAUCAGAGGCAUAAUUUGUUCCAUACAAAGGGAGUUGUGAAGGAACAUUCUAUGUGCGUCAUCAUAGAUGGAGGGAGCUGCAACAACUUGGCUAGCAUAGAGAUGGUGGAGAAGUUACAUCUCACCACAAGACCACAUUCACAUCCUUACUACAUCCAAUGGUUCAACAACAGCGGCAAGAUUAAGGUAACACGUAUUGUUCGUGUGCAUUUUAGUAUCUCUACAUAUGCUGAUUAUGUUGAUUGUGAUGUGGUACCUAUGCAAGCAUGUUCCUUAUUACUUGGUAGACCAUGGCAAUUUGAUAGAAAUUUUGUACACCAUGGUAGAAACAAUCAGUAUACUCUUGUUCAUAAUGAUAAAAAUAUAACUUUGCUUCCUAUGACUCCUGAUUCUAUUUUGAAAGAUGAUAUUAAUAGAGCUAAUAAAGCAAAAUAG
rnacentral:rRNA from 1 species